GAUGAAGAACGUAGCGAAAUGCGAUAAUUAAUGUGAAUUGCAGAAUUCCGUGAAUCAUCGAGUCUUUGAACGCACAUUGCGCCUCAUGGCAUUCCGUGAGGCAUGCCCAUCUCAGCGUUAGAAAAUAUUCUCAAAUUUUAGUUUUGUGCUAAAAUUUGGAUCAUGUCAAGGAAGCUAUUACUAUUAUUGUGAUCGCUCUUUGGAAAUUGAUAGGUCUUUGAGUUGCUACUCAUAGAACGUGAUGAAUCUUUCUUCGUUCUAUUGUAAUUCACUCUGGUAGUCCUAACUUGUAUGCCUGUGGCAUAUCUUGUAAUUUGACCUGAGAUUGGGUAGGGAUACCCGCUGAACUUAAGCAUAUCAAUAAGCGGAGGA
rnacentral:misc_RNA from 1 species